UCAAAUUAGCAAAAUUGCAUGGAAAUAGACAAAAAUACCCUCAUUCUUCUUAUUGUCCAGAAUUCAUAGCUUCAUCAUCUUGAAGCCCAGAAUACCCUCUUGCCUCUUCCCUAUUCGUACCCCUUUCUUCCUCCCUCUUCCUUUUUUUUUAAUUGGACUUUUUUUUGACAAAUAGAUAGAUUGGACAUAAGUGUGGAAAUGUAAUUCCAACUCUAAACUAGUUUCACUUGGAAAGAGAUGAAUUGCGCUGACUUGAACAUAGACACAUUUAAGUGCAGGAGCAUAAUCAAUGGCUACUGUCAGCGUGAAGCUAAGAAGAUGCUAGAAACUUUGAAAUUAAAGUGGGAACUGUUUAACACACCUCAGCUUCAUCAACAUGUUUCCAACGAUUAGGCCAUCCCAAGUCCGAUCCUCCUCCCUCGCCGGCGUUCUUCCACUCCCUCGAUUCCUCCUCAAUAGAUUGAUUUGGUUUGAUUUACUGAUAUCAGUUGUUACCUCUUUCGUUCAGAUCUCAUUGUGUGUACGAUCCGGAAGGAUUUCAUCGGAGAAAAGAUCCACUUCGCGGUGUUCUCCGGCUGUUGUUGUUUCUGAAUCGGAGGGUGGAGAAGAAGAGGGUGGAUUUUAUGUUGUUAUGGUUUUUUAUGGUGUUUUCUGAAUAGGUUUGUUGUGUGUUCUAUGUUCUUCAAUUGAGAGAUGAAUUUUGGAUUCUUCAAUUUCAGAGGAAGUUGUAGUUGAUAUUGUUGUUGUUGUGACUUCGAUUAAGAUGAAUAUUUUUAUUCUGUUCCAUGCUA